rnacentral:rRNA from 1 species
UUCCGGUUGAUCCCGCCGGACCUGACUGCUAUCGGAUUGAUACUAAGCCAUGCGAGUCAUUGUAGUAAUACAAGGCAGACGGCUCAGUAACGCGUAGUCAACCUACCCUGUGGACGGGGAUAACCUCGGGAAACUGAGAAUAAUACCCGAUAGAACAUUAUGCCUGGAAUGGUUUAUGUUUCAAAUAAUUUAUUGCCGUAGGAUGGGACUGCGUCCUAUCAGUUUGUUGGUGAGGUAAUGGCCCACCAAGACUAUUACAGGUACGGGCUCUGAGAGGAGUAGCCCGGAGAUGGGUACUGAGACACGGACCCAGGCCCUAUGGGGCGCAGCAGGCGAGAAAACUUUGCAAUGUGCGAAAGCACGACAAGGUUAAUCCGAGUGGUUUCUGCUAAAGGAACCUUUUGUCAGUCCUAGAAACACUGAUGAAUAAGGGGUGGGCAAGUUCUGGUGUCAGCCGCCGCGGUAAAACCAGCACCUCAAGUGGUCAGGAUGAUUAUUGGGCCUAAAGCAUCCGUAGCCUGCUUUGUAAGUUUUCGGUUAAAUCCAUACGCUCAACGUAUGGGCUGCCGGGAAUACUGCAAAGCUAGGGAGUGGGAGAGGUAGACGGUACUCGGUAGGAAGGGGUAAAAUCCUUUGAUCUAUUGAUGACCACCUGUGGCGAAGGCGGUCUACCAGAACACGUCCGACGGUGAGGGAUGAAAGCUGGGGGAGCAAACCGGAUUAGAUACCCGGGUAGUCCCAGCUGUAAACUAUGCAAACUCAGUGAUGCAUUGGCUUGAUGCCAAUGCAGUGCUGCAGGGAAGCCGUUAAGUUUGCCGCCUGGGAAGUACGUACGCAAGUAUGAAACUUAAAGGAAUUGGCGGGGGAGCACCACAAGGGGUGAAGCCUGCGGUUCAAUUGGAUUCAACGCCGGA